rnacentral:rRNA from 1 species
CUACGGGGCGCUGCAGUAGAGAAUCUUCCGCAAUGGACGAAAGUCUGACGGAGCGACACCGCGUGAAGGAUGAAGGCCCUCGGGUUGUAAACUUCUUUUCUGGGGGAAGAAAAUCUGACGGUACCCCAGGAAUAAGGUCCGGCUAAUUACGUGCCAGCAGCCGCGGUAAUACGUAAGGGCCAAACGUUAUCCGGAAUUAUUGGGCGUAAAGUGUCCGCAGGUGGUGCAAUAAGUCUGUCAUUAAAUACCAGCGCUUAACGGUGGUGCCGUGGUGGAAACUAUUGUGCUUGAGGAUGGGAGAGGUAUAUGGAAUUGUGCAAGUAGGGGUAAAAUCCGUAGAUAUGCACAGGAACACCAAAAGCGAAGGCAGUAUACUGGACCAUUCCUGACACUCAGGGACGAAAGCGUGGGUAGCAAAAGGGAUUAGAUACCCUAGUAGUC